rnacentral:rRNA from 1 species
AUUGAACGCUGGCGGCAUGCCUUACACAUGCAAGUCGAACGGCAGCGGGGGAGAAGCUUGCUUUUCCUGCCGGCGAGUGGCGAACGGGUGAGUAAUACAUCGGAACGUGCCCUGUAGUGGGGGAUAACUAGUCGAAAGAUUAGCUAAUACCGCAUACGACCUGAGGGUGAAAGUGGGGGACCGCAAGGCCUCAUGCUAUAGGAGCGGCCGAUGUCUGAUUAGCUAGUUGGUGGGGUAAAGGCCUACCAAGGCGACGAUCAGUAGCUGGUCUGAGAGGACGAUCAGCCACGCUGGGACUGAGACACGGCCCAGACUCCUACGGGAGGCAGCAGUGGGGAGUUUUGGCCAAUGGGCGAAAGCCUGAUCCAGCAAUGCCGCGUGUGUGAAGAAGGCCUUCGGGUUGUAAAGCACUUUUGUCCGGAAAGAAAUGGCUCUGGUUAAUACCUGGGGUCGAUGACGGUACCGGAAGAGUAAGGACCGGCUAACUACGUGCCAGCAGCCGCCGCCG